UCUUGAGAUCGCUCCUUGUGGAGUUUACUGCGAGCCUAUGACACCGCCUAACCUCUGUAUACCUACUGAUUGUACAACACUAAAACUGGGGGAGUUGGCUGUGGGGGCUGCCAAUGCUCAGAGAGCAGCUGUGCAUCGGUCCAUGGGUGAGUGAUUGAACAGCUGAAUGGUGUCGAGCUGCCUUUUGAGUUAAACUACAACACUUACCAAGUCCAAAUCUAUAUCCAUCAGAGAAUCGGGUGCUGGCAUUCCAGAAAACACAAGCGCUGUCCACGUGCUGGAGGAAGAACUCUGCUGUUUUCUCUGGGAAAGAAAUAGAGCAGGAAAUAAAAUUCCUACAGAAGGAACUAUCAUGCACUGUGACAUACAGAGCCUCAUACAGUGAACAGACAAAACUGCAGAACUUUCACAAUAACACUGUUUGAAGUAUCUAAACAGCCUGGGUUAGAAUGUGUUCAUAUACACAUUCCCAGUAUUCUUAUCAAGUAGACAGAGCU